GACGAACGCUGGCGGCGUGCUUAACACAUGCAAGUCGUACGGUAAGGCCCUUUCGGGGGUACACGCGUGGCGAACGGGUGAGUAACACGUGAGUAACCUGCCCACAACUUUGGGAUAACGCUAGGAAACUGGUGCUAAUACUGGCUAUGUGCUCCUGCUGCAUGGUGGGGGUUGGAAAGCUCCGGUGGUUGUGGAUGGACUCGCGGCCUAUCAGCUUGUUGGUGGGGUAGUGGCCUACCAAGGCGGCGACGGGUAGCCGGCCUGCGAGGGUGACCGGCCACAUUGGGACUGAGAUACGGCCCAGACUCCUACGGGGGGCAGCAGUGGGGAAUAUUGCACAAUGGGCGCAAGCCUGAUGCAGCAACGCCGCGUGCGGGAUGACGGCCUUCGGGGUGUAAACCGCUUUCAGCAGGGACGAAGCUUUUUGUGACGGUACCUGCAGAAGAAGCACCGGCUAACUACGUG
rnacentral:rRNA from 1 species